rnacentral:rRNA from 1 species
CACGUAAGUUGCGAGCGUUGUUCGGAAUUAUUGGGCGUAAAGGGCAUGUAGGCGGAGCUGCAAGCUUGGUGUGAAAGGCAGGAGCUUAACUCCUGGACAGCGUUGAGAACUGCAGCACUAGAGUCACUGAGGGGCAGUCAGAAUUCCAGGUGUAGGGGUGAAAUCUGUAGAUAUCUGGAAGAAUACCGAUGGCGAAGGCAGGCUGCCAGCAGAUGACUGACGCUGAGGUGCGAAGGUGCGGGGAGCAAAC